rnacentral:sRNA from 1 species
UUAUAUGGUGAGAUUAUGUCCACACUUAUUCUUUCAGCUUUCUUAAAGAGAAUAUUCAGUUUUAAAGAACAUAGUCACUUGUUUUGAGAUUUAUGUAUUAGCUUCGGAGAUCAGAACAUAAGAAUUUGAGGUAUGCAAGUCAACUCCCUCACUUUCUUUUAAAAAUCCUGGGAAAUCCGUUAUACCUUCCGUGCCUGAUUUUCUUCCUUUGCAAGUGGGUUGCUUGGCGUCCAGCUCAACCACUAAUGCAAGUCACCACAACAGGUACGUCUUCAAAUACCAUCUCAGCAGGCUGGGAGCCAAAUGAAGAAAAUGAAGAUGAAAGAGACAGACAACUCAGUUUUUCUGGAUCAGGCAUUGAUGAUGAUGAAGAUUUUAUCUCCAGCACCAUUUCAACCACACCACGGGCUUUUGACCACACAAAACAGAACCAGGAUUGGACCCAGUGGAACCCAAGCCAUUCAAAUCUGGAAGUGCUACUUCAGACAACCACAAGGAUGACUGCAGAUGUAGACAGAAAUGGCACCACUGCUUAUGAAGGAAACUGGAACCCAGAAGCACACCCUCC